rnacentral:rRNA from 1 species
UACGUAGGCAGCGAGCGUUGUUCGGAGUUACUGGGCGUAAAGCGUGCGCAGGCGGCUAUGCAAGACAGAUGUGAAAUCCCCGGGCUCAACCUGGGAACUGCAUUUGUGACUGCAUAGCUAGAGUACGGUAGAGGGGGAUGGAAUUCCGCGUGUAGCAGUGAAAUGCGUAGAUAUGCGGAGGAACACCGAUGGCGAAGGCAAUCCCCUGGACCUGUACUGACGCUCAUGCACGAAAGCGUGGGGAGCAAACAGG